rnacentral:rRNA from 1 species
AGAGUUUGAUCAUGGCUCAGAUUGAACGCUGGCGGCGUGCUUAACACAUGCAAGUCGAGCGGUAACAGGUGUAGCAAUACAUGCUGACGAGCGGCGAACGGGUGAGUAAUGCUUCGGAAUCUACCCAAUGGCGGGGAAUAACUAGCCGAAAGGUUAGCUAAUACCGCAUAAGCCCUACGGGGGAAAGCAGGGGAUCGUAAGACCUUGCACCGAUGGAUGAGCCGAAGUCGGAUUAGCUAGUUGGUAGGGUAACGGCCUAUCAAGGCGACGAUCCGUAGCUGGUCUGAGAGGACGACCAGCCACACUGGGACUGAGACACGGCCCAGACUCCUACGGGAGGCAGCAGUGGGGAAUAUUGGACAAUGGGGGAAACCCUGAUCCAGCGACGCCGCGUGUGUGAAGAAGGCCUGCGGGUUGUAAAGCACUUUUAGUGGGGAAGAAAUGUUCAGGGUUAAUACCCCUGGAUCUUGACGUAACCCAAAGAAAAAGCACCGGCUAACUCUGUGCCAGCAGCCGCGGUAAUACAGAGGGUGCAAGCGUUAAUCGGAAUUACUGGGCGUAAAGCGUGCGUAGACGGUUAUGUAAGUCGGGUGUGAAAGCCCCGGGCUCAACCUGGGAAUUGCAUUCGAGACUGGAUAGCUAGGGUACGGAAGAGGGAAGCGGAAUUUCAGGUGUAGCGGUGAAAUGCGUAGAUAUCUGAAGGAACACCAGUGGCGAAAGCGGCUUCCUGGUCCAGUACCGACGUUCAGGCACGAAAGCGUGGGGAGCAAACAGGAUUAGAUACCCUAGUAGUCC